rnacentral:rRNA from 1 species
CGUAGGCGGCUUUAUAAGUCAGAUGUGAAAUCCCACGGCUCAACUGUGGAAGUGCAUUUGAAACUGUGAGGCUUGAGUAUCGGAGGGGAGUGUGGAAUUCCCGGUGUAGAGGUGAAAUUCGUAGGGAUCGGGAGGAACACCGGUGGCGAAGGCGACACUCUGGACGAAUACUGACGCUGAGGCGCGAAAGCGUGGGGAGCAAACA